rnacentral:lncRNA from 1 species
GCGGUUCAAUUAUUGGAGACAAUGAACAAAGGGCACCUCACCUACAUACAGACUUUGUAGGUGUUUAAGGCUUUUGUUUUAGUUAUUUUGUGUCUUUCUGGUCAAUUUGUUUCUCUUUGUAGCCAAGUUGAUUUCUUGUAAUUGAAAAACGUUUUGGUCUUUUUAGUUGUUUUUAUUGUCUAAGGUUGUUCUGCCACAUUCUGUAGUUGUUUUGUGUCUCUGUGUGGUUGUUUUGUGUCUCUAUGUGGUUGUUUUGUGUCUAUGUGGUUGUUUUGUGUCUCUAUGUGGUUGUUUUGUGUCUCUAUGUGGUUGUUUUGUGUCUCUAUGUGGUUGUUUUGUGUCUAUGUGGUUGUUUUGUGUCUCUAUGUGGUUGUUUUGUGUCUCUAUGUGGUUGUUUUGUGUCUCUAUGUGGUUGUUUUGUGUCUAUGUGGUUGUUUUGUGUCUCUAUGUGGUUGUUUUGUGUCUCUAUGUGGUUGUUUUUAUGUGACAAUAUACAUACAAUCCUUUUAGACUUAAAGUCCUUCUUCAUAGGAAAUAACUUGAAUAAAUUUAG